rnacentral:rRNA from 1 species
GACGAACGCUGGCGGCGUGCUUAACACAUGCAAGUCGAACGGAAAGGCCCUGCUGUUGUGGGGUGCUCGAGUGGCGAACGGGUGAGUAACACGUGAGUAACCUGCCCUUGACUUUGGGAUAACUUCAGGAAACUGGGGCUAAUACCGGAUAGGAGCUCCUGCUGCAUGGUGGGGGUUGGAAAGUUUCGGCGGUUGGGGAUGGACUCGCGGCUUAUCAGCUUGUUGGUGGGGUAGUGGCUUACCAAGGCUUUGACGGGUAGCCGGCCUGAGAGGGUGACCGGCCACAUUGGGACUGAGAUACGGACCAGACUCCUACGGGAGGCAGCAGUGGGGAAUAUUGCACAAUGGGCGGAAGCCUGAUGCAGCAACGCCGCGUGCGGGAUGACGGCCUUCGGGUUGUAAACCGCUUUCGCCUGUGACGAAGCGUGAGUGACGGUAAUGGGUAAAGAAGCACCGGCUAACUACGUG